rnacentral:ncRNA from 1 species
CGUGUGGUAUCAGGUGAAAAAUCCUGAUGGCGACGCGGCCCAAGAGAGGU